UAGGGAAUCUUCCGCAAUGGACGAAAGUCUGACGGAGCAACGCCGCGUGAGUGAAGAAGGAUUUCGGUUCGUAAAACUCUGUUGUUAGGGAAGAAAAAAUGUAUAGUAACUAUAUACAAAAGAGACGGUACCUAACCAGAAAGCCACGGCUAACUACGUGCCAGCAGCCGCGGUAAUACGUAGGUGGCAAGCGUUGUCCGGAAUUAUUGGGCGUAAAGCGCGCGCAGGUGGUUUAGAAAGUCUGAUGUGAAAGCCCACGGCUCAACCGUGGAGGGUCAUUGGAAACUAAUAAACUUGAGUGCAGGAGAGGAAAGUGGAAUUCCUAGUGUGGCGGUGAAAUGCGUAGAGAUUAGGAGGAACACCGGUGGCGAAAGCGGCUUUUUGGCCUGCAAAUGAAACUGAGGCGCGAAAGCGUGGGGAGCAAACAGG
rnacentral:rRNA from 1 species